GGGAAGAUCGCAGCACUUGGAGCUGAGCCGUCGGGUAAGCAGGCUGACAGCCUGACAGGUACAGCUUUAGGUGAACUUGUGAAAUUUUAGCAGCAGGUUUGUGCAAACCGGUGCGAAACGGCUGAAUCCCACCACUGUGUAAACCCUCUGUGUUCAAGAGCAGGCUGCUUUCCUGUGUGAACCCUCUGUGUUCAAGAGCAGGCUGCUUUCCUGUGUGAACCCUCUGUGUUCCAGAGCAGGCUGCUUUCCUGUGUGAACCCUCUGUGUUCCAGAGCAGGCUGCUUUCCUGUGUGAACCCUCUGUGUUCCAGAGCAGGCUGCUUUCCUGUGUGAACCCUCUGUGUUCCAGAGCAGGCUGCUUGUGGUCAACAACCCUUCCCGACCAAACCUUGAUAAUAGCUAUGUCAGUAGUUCCACUACUGUACUGAAUGACUGAAAGGUAUAAUGUACUGUGACUUCCUUAAACAUGUUUGUACUAUUUCUUGAGGUCACUGUGUGCUGACUCUUUUUCUAAAGCUUAAACAAAAACAGCAAUAAAUCAGAAUGGUGCAAGUAAUUAUAAAAAUAAAUGUUAUCACCUUAAGGAAACUAUAAACAACGGUAUAUGUGCAGGAACACACAUGUAAUUCUGAUAUAAAAAAUGCCCAAAAUAGUAAAUAAAGAUGUAGGUGCGCAAGAAAUCUUUAAAGUGUCACUGCAUGGAAAGUGAUAUUAAGAAUAUAUAAAUAUCCCAGAGAUAUACACACUAAAUAUUAUAUGUGGGGAAUGCAUAGUUAAACACACUGUGAUAAAAACACAAUGAUCUUGUAUGGUACAAAAUAAGUUGUAUACUUGCACUCUCUUUAGGAAAUAGGUCUCAGUGAACUAAAAUACAUAAGCAACAAAACAAACCUAGUGCAUAGUGAUGACCCGAACGGUUCGCCGAACGGUUCACCACGGAUGGCGAACAUAAACUUUGACCCUGUACCUCACAGUCAGCAGACACAUUCCAGCCAAUCAGCAGCAGACCCUCCCUCCCAGACCCUCCCACCUCCUGGACAGCAUCCAUUUUACAUUCAUUGUGAAGCUGCAUUCUUAGUGAGCUGUCCGGGAGGUGGGAGGGUCUGGGAGGGAGGGUCUGCUGCUGAUUGGCUGGAAUGUGUCUGCUGACUGUGAGGUACAGGGUCAAAGUUUAUGUUUAUGUUCGCCGUCCGUGGCAAACCGUUCGGCUAACCGUUCAGGACAUCACUACUAGUGCAAUAUAGCCAGAAAAAAAUCUAUAUUAAAAUCAGUGCUCUUUGAAAAAAUACACUCACAAAAAGCUUGCCAAUGAACCUCAACAAAAAGUUGAUGAUGGUUAAAUUUCAGUCUGCCAUCACCAGCUUUUUUAGGCAUUUAACUAAUGAUGUUUAUCCUUCUUAGGUUUCCUAAGUUCUGCCAUCAAGUCUGUCAUGUGGUUUUCACUUUUCUUCAUCCAUGUCUUCCAAAUACAGGCUGGACUCCAUUAUGUUGUUGCCAUGUUCCUGACCAAUUUUCCCAGGAAAUGGGCUACCCAUUUGGUGUUUUUUACCUUUACGUACCUGUCAAAAAUAAGAAAUCUUGGAGAAAAAUAAAUAAAUGGACAGCUGAGACAACAGAGAUACAUUGUAGUAUUGCACUAUAUAUUUUAAUAUGAAAAUGGAC
rnacentral:lncRNA from 1 species